UACGUAGGCAGCGAGCGUUGUUCGGAGUUACUGGGCGUAAAGGGUGUGUAGGCGGUUGUUUAAGUUUGGUGUGAAAUCUCCCGGCUCAACUGGGAGGGUGCGCCGAAUACUGAAUGACUAGAGUGUGGGAGAGGUGAGUGGAAUUCCUGGUGUAGCGGUGAAAUGCGUAGAUAUCAGGAGGAACACCGGUGGUGUAGACGGCUCACUGGACCAUAACUGACGCUGAGACACGAAAGCGUGGGUAGCAAACGGG
rnacentral:rRNA from 1 species